rnacentral:rRNA from 1 species
GGUUAAGCGACUAAGCGUACACGGUGGAUGCCUAGGCAGUCAGAGGCGAUGAAGGGCGUGCUAAUCUGCGAUAAGCGUCGGUAAGCUGAUAUGAAGCGUUAUACCCGACGAUACCCGAAUGGGGAAACCCAGUGUGUUUCGACACACUAUCAUGACAUGAAUACAUAGUGUCAUGAGGCGAACCGGGGGAACUGAAACAUCUCAGUACCCCGAGGAAAAGAAAUCAACCGAGAUUCCCCCAGUAGCGGCGAGCGAACGGGGAGGAGCCCAGAACCUGAAUCAGUUUGUGUGUUAGUGGAAGCGUCUGGAAAGUCGCACAGUAAAGGGUGAUAGUCCCGUACACAAAAAUGCACAAGUUGUGAGUUCGAUGAGUAGGGCGGGACACGUGACAUCCUGUCUGAAUAUGGGGGGACCAUCCUCCAAGGCUAAAUACUCCUGACUGACCGAUAGUGAACCAGUACCGUGAGGGAAAGGCGAAAAGAACCCCGGCGAGGGGAGUGAAAUAGAACCUGAAACCGUGUACGUACAAGCAGUGGGAGCCUACUUGUUAGGUGACUGCGUACCUUUUGUAUAAUGGGUCAGCGACUUAUAUUCUGUAGCAAGGUUAACCGUAUAGGGGAGCCGCAGGGAAACCGAGUCUUAACUGGGCGUUAAGUUGCAGGGUAUAGACCCGAAACCCGGUGAUCUAGCCAUGGGCAGGUUGAAGGUUGGGUAACACUAACUGGAGGACCGAACCGACUAAUGUUGAAAAAUUAGCGGAUGACUUGUGGCUGGGGGUGAAAGGCCAAUCAAACCGGGAGAUAGCUGGUUCUCCCCGAAAGCUAUUUAGGUAGCGCCUCGUGAAUUCAUCUUCGGGGGUAGAGCACUGUUUCGGCUAGGGGGUCAUCCCGACUUACCACCCGAUGCAAACUACGAAUACCGAAGAAUGUUAUCACGGGAGACACACGGCGGGUGCUAACGUUCGUCGUGAAGAGGGAAACAACCCAGACCGCCAGCUAAGGUCCCAAAGUCAUGGUUAAGUGGGAAACGAUGUGGGAAGGCAUAGACAGCCAGGAUGUUGGCUUAGAAGCAGCCAUCAUUUAAAGAAAGCGUAAUAGCUCACUGGUCGAGUCGGCCUGCGCGGAAGAUGUAACGGGGCUAAACCAUGCACCGAAGCUGCGGCAGCGACACUUAGGUGUUGUUGGGUAGGGGAGCGUUCUGUAAGCCUGCGAAGGUGGCCUGUGAGGGCUGCUGGAGGUAUCAGAAGUGCGAAUGCUGACAUAAGUAACGAUAAUGCGGGUGAAAAACCCGCACGCCGGAAGACCAAGGGUUCCUGUCCAACGUUAAUCGGGGCAGGGUGAGUCGACCCCUAAGGCGAGGCUGAAAAGCGUAGUCGAUGGGAAACAGGUUAAUAUUCCUGUACUCGGUGUUACUGCGAAGGGGGGACGGAGAAAGCUAGGUUAUCCGGGCGACGGUUGUCCCGGUUUAAGCGUGAAGGUGGAUGACUUUGGUAAAUCCGGGUCAUCGUUAACACUGAGGCGUGAUGACGAGUCACUACGGUGAUGAAGUAACCGAUGCUACGCUUCCAGGAAAAGCCUCUAAGCUCCAGGUAACAUCAAAUCGUACCCCAAACCGACACAGGUGGUCAGGUAGAGAAUACUCAGGCGCUUGAGAGAACUCGGGUGAAGGAACUAGGCAAAAUGGUGCCGUAACUUCGGGAGAAGGCACGCUGAUGGUAGGUGAAAUGACUUGCUCAUGGAGCUGAAAUCAGUCGAAGAUACCAGCUGGCUGCAACUGUUUAAUAAAAACACAGCACUGUGCAAACACGAAAGUGGACGUAUGCGGUGUGACGCCUGCCCGGUGCCGGAAGGUUAAUUGAUGGGGUCAGCCGCAAGGCGAAGCUCUUGAUCGAAGCCCCGGUAAACGGCGGCCGUAACUAUAACGGUCCUAAGGUAAGCGAAAUUCCUUGUCGGGUAAGUUCCGACCUGCACGAAUGGCGUAAUGAUGGCCAGGCUGUCUCCACCCGAGACUCAGUGAAAUUGAACUCGCUGUGAAGAUGCAGUGUACCCGCGGCAAGACGGAAAGACCCCGUGAACCUUUACUAUAGCUUGACACUGAACCUCGAGCCUUGAUGUGUAGGAUAGGUGGGAGGCUUUGAAGCGUGGACGCCAGUCUGCGUGGAGCCAACCUUGAAAUACCACCCUUUAAUGUUUGAUGUUCUAACGUGGACCCGUGACCCGGGUUGCGGACAGUGUCUGGUGGGUAGUUUGACUGGGGCGGUCUCCUCCCAAAGCGUAACGGAGGAGCACGAAGGUUAGCUAAUCCUGGUCGGACAUCAGGAGGUUAGUGCAAAGGCAUAAGCUAGCUUGACUGCGAGAGUGACAGCUCGAGCAGGUGCGAAAGCAGGUCUUAGUGAUCCGGUGGUUCUGAAUGGAAGGGCCAUCGCUCAACGGAUAAAAGGUACUCCGGGGAUAACAGGCUGAUACCGCCCAAGAGUUCAUAUCGACGGCGGUGUUUGGCACCUCGAUGUCGGCUCAUCACAUCCUGGGGCUGAAGUAGGUCCCAAGGGUAUGGCUGUUCGCCAUUUAAAGUGGUACGCGAGCUGGGUUUAGAACGUCGUGAGACAGUUCGGUCCCUAUCUGCCGUGGGCGUUGGAAGAUUGAGAGGGGUUGCUCCUAGUACGAGAGGACCGGAGUGAACGCACCACUGGUGUACGGGUUGUGAUGCCAAUUGCAUUGCCCGGUAGCUAAGUGCGGAAGAGAUAACCGCUGAAAGCAUCUAAGCGGGAAACUUGCCUCGAGAUGAGUCUUCCCUGGGCACUUGAUGCCCCUGAAGGGCCGUUGAAGACGACGACGUAGAUAGGCUGGGUGUGUAAGCGUAGCGAUACGUUGAGCUAACCAGUACUAAUGACCCGAGAGGCUUAACCU